UUGAUAGCUCUGGAGACUGAAAUUCUUUCUUUAGAAACAGAAUUGGUAACAGCUCAGGCUGUAGCUCUGCAAGCCUCUGCCACUGCCCCACCAAUGUGCCUCAACUUUGAACUGGAGGGCUCUCCUUCUUGCUGCAAAUAACAGUGCCAUUUUUCCUAGGGUGGCUGUU
rnacentral:sRNA from 1 species